UGAGGAGGCGACGGAGGAAACAGAAGAUGGCAGAUUUCUUGAAAGGAUUGCCUGUCUACAACAAAAGCAAUUUUAGUGGAUUUCAUGCCGAUUCCUUGUGCAAAGCCUCCAACCGACAUCCCUCAGUCUACCUGCCCACUCGAGAGUACCUGUCUUAAACAGAUUAUCAUGACAGAAAAGACAAACGUUCUCCUGCGCUACCUACAUCAGCAGUGGGACAAAAAGAACGCCGCCAAGAAGAGAGACCAGGAGCAAGUGGAACUUGAAGGCGAGAGCUCGGCGCCCCCUCGCAAGGUGGCACGGACCCACAGUCCAGACGUGCACGAGGACACUGAAGACUCACUCCCUACAGGCGCCUUGGCCCGGUCUGCUCCCCGAUUGCCGGCCUGCCUGUCCACCGAGUGUAAGCACCCCGCCUGCCUGUCCACCGAGUGUAAGCACCCCGCCUGCUUGUCCACCGUGUGUAAGCACCCCGCCUGCCUGUCCACCGUGUGUAAGCACCCCACCCACCUCCCUGCUGACCCACCCACACCCUGCCGUCCACACCACUUCCAAUCUCAUAGGAGCUGA